rnacentral:rRNA from 1 species
GAUGAACGCUGGCGGCGUGCCUAAUACAUGCAAGUCGAGCGAACAGACGAGGAGCUUGCUCCUUUGACGUUAGCGGCGGACGGGUGAGUAACACGUGGGUAACCUACCUAUAAGACUGGGAUAACUUCGGGAAACCGGAGCUAAUACCGGAUAAUAUUUUGAACCGCAUGGUUCGAUAGUGAAAGAUGGCUUUGCUAUCACUUAUAGAUGGAUCUGCGCCGUAUUAGCUAGUUGGUAAGGUAACGGCUUACCAAGGCAACGAUGCGUAGCCGACCUGAGAGGGUGGUCGGCCGCACUGGAACUGAGACACGGUCCAGAGUCCUACGGGAGGCAGCAGUAGGGAAUCUGCCGCAAAGGGCGAAAGCCUGACGGAGCAGCGCCGCGUGAGUGAUGAAGGUCUUCGGAUCGUGAAACUCUGUUAUUAGGUAGGAACAAACGUGUAAGUAACUGUGCACGUCUUGACGGUACCUAAUCAGAAAGCCACGGCUAACUACGUG